rnacentral:lncRNA from 1 species
ACCUAGACAAUUUUUGUUAGAAGUGAUAGAACAAGGAAAGCCAAAUUAAAAGUUCUAGCUAGCCCAAGACAUGCAAAACAUCAAGAGAAAUAUAUAUGUACCUUUAUGGACUACCAUCGAGGCUUUCAUCAAACAUCAGAAAAAAAAAAAAAAAGUUACAUUUGAAGGGGAAAAAGGAAAAAGACUACCAUCGAGGCCCCAGCCAAUGUAGAGCGGAGUGAUGCCAAUUGCAUCUCGGGCAGCAAUGAAACUGCUGUCGCGUGUGUCCAACAACACAAAUGAGAACAUUCCAUCCAGCAUGUCAACAAAACUGUCUCCAUAUUCCUCAUACUAUCACGAAAUAAAACAAGAGAAAAUUUCCAUCUCACUUUCAUUGCUCAAAAAAGAUUUCACCUUUCUUAAAAUGUAAAAAGAACAAAAAAAUCAUGUGUGCACAGUUUAGUAUAUAUGGCUUGUUUAAUUCAUAGAAUUCUCACCAGAUGGGCAAUAACUUCACAGUCGCUCCCUGUCCUGAACUUGUGAUUAAGCAACCUUUUCCUCAGUUCUUCAUGGUUGUAAAUCUCUCCAUUGACCUGUUUCAAACAGAAAAUUCCUCAAUCUACUCAGUAAAUAACACAUACAAACAUAAUAUAUUUAUCAGAUGGAUACAUGAUAUGAUUGACAAGAAGAAAAUUUGUUAAAGAAAGUUGCCAUAUUACAGGAAAGAAAUGUUGAUGGAGUUCUUUGAUUCCUGGAGAAAUCUGUAUCCUUAGGCAUGUGUAAUUGCAGUCCACUUUACCUUAUUGAUUUGUAUUUAGUUUGCAUAUGUUGUCUGGGCUGGCGUCAAAAAAGAAAAAAAAAUGUUUUCAUGGGCUGCAAAAUUCAGUAUGACUUAAUUCCUGUCAAGAUCGCUCCUGCUAAUAUUUGAGCAAUAAGAGCGCUUGUACAUUUUUUCUUUGAUUAGGAGAGAACUUGCGCGGUUGUACUAUUAAAUCCAACUUUUCAUGGAAACUGUAGUCACAUUCCUGUUUUUAAAAGGAAGUUCAAACCUGUCUCUUGUCUUCUACCUGCAGGAAUAACACCGAGGCCUUUGAAUCCUGAUGCGUUUUUCACACCACACACACACACACAUACAUGUAUGUAUGUUGUAGAAGACUCGGGAUCUUUCAUCGUUAUCAUUGUCCCUUUCUUUCUUUUCUUUUCUUUUCCUUUUUCUUUUUUUUUUUUUUUGGGGGAGAAACUUCAUCGUUAUCGUUGUUAUCAACAUCACUCUCUAGAUACAUGGACCAAGGAGAAGUCAGUCAUCCUUGAAAGAGACUUGGAUGCCAACUAAUAGUAAGGAAAAAUAAAUGUUUCUGCGUUUAUGUUAAUUAUUACCGUCACCACAAUGGAUUUGUCCUCGUUAUAAAGAGGCUGAUCACCGGAAGCAGGAUCGAUGACUGCUAGCCGCUGAUGUGCUAGAAAACAAUCUCCAAACUGGUGCAAUCCGCUCCAAUCUGGACCACGAUGCUUUAACCUGCAUCCAGAGAAGAAACACAACAUUACUUCUUUUUUCUUUUUCUUUUUUUUUUUUAAUGGAAACAUUACUUCUCUAUUCAUUCACUCAUUUUGUAAGUUGAAAAGAACAAAACACAAAAUUUUCAUUAAUUGUCAAGACAAUUUAUCUUCAAAAAAGGUUUAACCGAUAUAACAAAUGUUUUUUUUUUAAUAUGAUAAACAAAGUUAGACUUUUACCAGAUCGGAAAGAACCAUAUAUAUUUAUCUGUAAUACAAUAUAUAACAGAAACAGAGUGGCUUGCUCAUCAUCAAUAAUACGUCAUAGAGACGUCAAUAUUAGACCACAAAUGUUUGAUUAAAACGCUCUUUAUUUGCACAAAGAAGAACAUUAGUCCAUCCAUGCUGUGAAGAAAUUUGAGUAGUAGAGAGUUCAUAUCCGCUUUAGCCUUUUGUGAAAGGACAUAAUCAACAGAUUUAAGAUCACGGAGUUCAUGCAAAAUCUCCUUUAUGGGUUCUCUCUCCAGCUUCAAGAUUCAGAGAGAAUUCCAUCAAAACAGAUUCAGAGAGAGCAUCUACCCAUAAUAGGAUAGUUUUGAACAAGACAAGCAAAUAACAUUCAAAAAAUUUAAAAAAAUAUAUAAAAUCCAAAACCAUAAUCACAGCCGCAAAACCUUACCAUAAUAUAUAUCUUCGUUCACUUAAAAAUAUAUAUUAUAAUUCAAACGAAAAUAUUAUAUAUAUAUAUAGAACAAACUCAUCAUCAUCAAACCCCAUAAAAAAAUCAAUCAGAGGCCCAAAAGUUCCAUCUUUGUAGCAAGAGAGAGGAGAGAAGAACGGGGUGAGUUUGGAUCAUUGCCUGCGGGAGAGCUCGAGCACGCGAACCCUCUUCGACUGUGAAUCAUCCGAGCAUCCCAACACAGCCAGUAUCCCACACAUGUUAUUGAUUGAAAUGAAACGAGAGAGACCAGAUACGGUAAACCAAACAAUAGAGAGCAAGAGCAAGAUAUUUAGAAAAAAAAAAAAACGGAGGAGAAAGAGGAGAGAUGGGACAAGUAAUCGAAGAGAAUAUAACAGGUGGCGAACCCCUUC